AGGUGGGAUAGCAGAAAUAGGACAAUAAAAAGAGGGGUAGUUCACGGAUACCCACAAUAGGACCGGAAGUCGGGGAGUCGUUCACGGAUACCUACAAUAGGACCGGAAGUCGGGGUUCUUAUAUAGUCUGGGUUACAGGAAAGUCUACUCAAUAUAUUUCACUGGAUCAUAAUCUUGAUCUGAAGCGGAAGAAACAAGUGAACUAGAUCAAGGCAAGAAAGAUCUUCAUCAGAAGCAAGCUAUUCAAUCUCAUUAUGUGCUAACGGGUGCGCGAGCAGGAGCAGUGUUAGGCCGGACGAAACAAAAAGAUAAGGGAGUCGAGGUCACAUUCCAAUCUUAUAUGCGAUGCAAGAGGUUGGGGUUCAAUUAAUCUGUUCUAUGCGCAAGACAAGAGAGAGAGUCCCAUUUCCAUUCAACAAGGCGAUCGAUAGAUUCCGCUUUCGUCUGCAAGCAUGGGUUCAGGUUAUUGAUUGACGGGCCCACAGCCCCCUCGGUUGACCCAGCACAGUCGGACGAGACAGAAGCAGGUAACGGUUGAAGCUCGCCCAUACCCUGCGACCCCCCGGUCUCCCACGCAACAUCCUCGGCCAUGUCGGACGCCAUCAGAGAUACGAACCUGACCGAUGUGAUGGCGCGCUCGGUAAUGCCAAGUUCCCCU
rnacentral:lncRNA from 1 species